ACGAAGGGUGCAAGCGUUACUCGGAAUUACUGGGCGUAAAGCGUGCGUAGGUGGUUCGUUAAGUCUGCCGUGAAAGCCCCGGGCUCAACCUGGGAAUGGCGGUGGAUACUGGCGGACUAGAGUGCGGUAGAGGGUGGUGGAAUUCCCGGUGUAGCAGUGAAAUGCGUAGAGAUCGGGAGGAACAUCUGUGGCGAAGGCGGCAUCCUGGACCGGUAUUGACGCUGAGGCGCGAAAGCCAGGGGAGCAAACGGGA
rnacentral:rRNA from 1 species